ACCUUUCCCACAACCCUUGGAAAAUCUAAAUUUAUCUCCUAAUAUUUUUUCUCCCAUUUCAUAGUGUAUGUCUUUGAAUUUUACUCAUUCCUUAGGGCUCAGUUCUUCUGCUGCUAGAUGUUGCUUCCUCUGAAUUCCUACACCAGGUUAAGGUUAGAACUGGAAGGGACCUCAGAAGUCAUCAAAUUCAACUCUUAUUUUGAAGGUGAGGGGAAAAGACAUUUGAUUGGAUCACACAGAGACUAAUAAGAUGAUUUGGUACUCGGAGACUUGUUACAUUUUGUUGUGAUCCACAAGUCAAAGACUAUAGUAUUUUCAACAAAGCAGAAGACACAAAAUAUUUGAUAUUUGAGAGAAACAGGAAGAGUGGUGGAGCAAAUCAAGCAGACCAUCAAAGAAAUUUAUGUUGGAAACAUCUCA
rnacentral:lncRNA from 1 species